UACGUAGGGGGCAAGCGUUGUCCGGAAUCAUUGGGCGUAAAGAGCGUGUAGGCGGCUCGGUAAGUCCGCUGCGAAAGUCCAGGGCUCAACCCUGGAAUGCCGGUGGAAACUGUCGAGCUAGAGUCCGGAAGAGGCGAGUGGAAUUCCUGGUGUAGCGGUGAAAUGCGCAGAUAUCAGGAGGAACACCAAUGGCGAAGGCAGCUCGCUGGGACGGUACUGACGCUGAGGCGCGAAAGCGUGGGGAGCAAACAGG
rnacentral:rRNA from 1 species